GGGGGUGUAAUUGGUUUCGACAAUUAUCUAGAAAUAUAGAUAGCGAGUAGUGGAUUCUCGUUAGCCACUUAAAAAAACGGGAAAAAAAUAUAAAUGCAAAAAAUGAAAAUUUAGCAUUCGCUGCCUAAUUGCGGCGACAUCUUAUAAAAAAGGCCUACGGUUUUUAUAGGGUGACAAAUUAGUAGGAAACGAAUAUAUUUUUUGUCAUAAAGAUAUAGGGUAUAAUAAUGACUACCUUUUUUAUAAAGUUGUUUGUUGAUUUAUAUAAAGGGGAAUUUAUUUAACAAACUGCACUCGGAGAAAUUUAUAUGGAAAGAUUAUUGGACAGGAGUUCAACUCUCCUCACCUCCACCA
rnacentral:tmRNA from 1 species